rnacentral:rRNA from 1 species
GACGAAGGAUGCAAGCGUUAUCCGGAUUCAUUGGGUUUAAAGGGAGCGUAGGUGGACUUGUAAGUCAGUGGUGAAAUCUCCGAGCUUAACUUGGAAACUGCCAUUGAUACUGUUAGUCUUGAGUACAGUUGAGGUGGGCGGAAUGUGUCAUGUAGCGGUGAAAUGCUUAGAUAUGACACAGAACACCGAUUGCGAAGGCAGCUCACUAAGAUGUAACUGACACUGAGGCACGAAAGCGUGGGGAGCAAACAGG